CGUGAUGUGCUCCACGACAUCUUUAAGCAGAUGCGCUCCAUCGAGUUCACUGUCUAUACCAACUCUACGACUCUAGCUCCAUAGAUGGAGGCUAACCUGAACCAAUGGGUUGGCGUUGUCCAGCUUGAUAGCAUGUACCCUACCGUCGUAUCUUCCUCUGCCUUGAGCAACUCUUUCUCAAGCAUGCCUAGGCAAGCAUGCUUGAUAGAGAGGGAUGUCAUAUCUUCGUUUGAGUUGUUCCGUCUUUCAACCGCCCAAGGCAAGCAUCAUAGCCACUUCAAACACCACAUGUAUGAGUAAUGUUUCGGAAUCAUGUUUAUCCUAGCCAUUUAUUUUGAGAAGUUGUGCAUCAAAACACACCUUAGUUCUAGUUUGGCCCGGUGUUCUUGAUUCCACUCUUAAACAGGACGAGCAAAGAUCUAAAUGUCGGGGUGUGACGGCCAUUAUACACCAUUCGGACUGCCAACCAUUGCAAAUGAUGAUGGAAUUUAAUGUAGUUAGGAUAUAAAUAUUUAUUUAAACUAACGAGUUCCACAAGUUUUGGUGGUUUGGGAUGUUUUGCAGGAUUAUGCUCGAAAAAUGCAAGAAAUAAUAUUAGAUGGAGCAUAUGCAAGGACGUGCACCAUAGACAUAAGAUGGUACCAUUUGUAACAUUGUCAAAUUCUCAAUUGGACAUCACCAUGUUAAAGUGCUCGUCAAGAUGAUCAAAAUGGAUACUUUAUUGAUCACCCAAUUUGGAGUCCGAGUGAUUUAUGUUUCUGCUGCUGGGUUCUCUGUUGACUAUCAUUUUUCCAGCCGUUAGGCUCCAGAACCAGGGUGUUAGGCUUCAUUGCGGUUCUUUUUAAACCGGCAGUGAUAGCCCUGUACGCAGUAAUGGUUUUCAGUGAGGGUUGCCUAUUCAAAGAAUUAGUCGAGAGCAGACCUCGCUUUGCCAACCUUAGGCCAGUUUUAUGAGGGUUUCAUAAGAGUUUUAUGAGUAUUA
rnacentral:lncRNA from 1 species